rnacentral:SRP_RNA from 2 species
GCUGGGUGUGGUGGUGCGCGCCUGUAGUCCCAGCUACUAGGGAAGCUGAGGCAGGAGGAUAGCUUGAGCCCAGGGAGUUGGAAGAUGUGGAAAGUUGUGAUCCUGCCACUGCACUCCAGCCUGGGUAACAGAGUGAGACCCUGCCUCAA